GUGAGGAAUAUUGGUCAAUGGGCGAGAGCCUGAACCAGCCAAGUCGCGUGAAGGAAGAAGGAUCUAUGGUUCGUAAACUUCUUUUGCAGGGGAAUAAAGUGCGGGACGUGUCCUGUUUUGUAUGUACCCUGAGAAUAAGGAUCGGCUAACUCCGUGCCAGCAGCCGCGGUAAUACGGAGGAUCCGAGCGUUAUCCGGAUUUAUUGGGUUUAAAGGGUGCGUAGGUGGUUUGAUAAGUCAGCGGUGAAAGUUUGCAGCUUAACUGUAAAAAUGCCGUUGAAACUGUCGGACUUGAGUGUAAAUGAGGUAGGCGGAAUGCGUGGUGUAGCGGUGAAAUGCAUAGAUAUCACGCAGAACUCCGAUUGCGAAGGCAGCUUACUAAGCUACAACUGACACUGAAGCACGAAAGCGUGGGGAUCAAACAGGAUUAGAAACCCUUGUAGUCC
rnacentral:rRNA from 1 species